AUUCCCCUAGUAACUGCGAGUGAAGCGGGAAAAGCUCAAAUUUAAAAUCUGGCAGUCUCUGGCUGUCCGAGUUGUAAUCUAGAGAAGUAAUGCCCGUGCUGGACCGUGUAUAAGUCUCCUGGGAUGGGGCGUCAUAGAGGGUGAGAAUCCCGUCUUUGACACGGACUACCAGUGCAUUGUGGUAUGCUCUCAAAGAGUCGAGUUGUUUGGGAAUGCAGCUCAAAAUGGGUGGUAAAUUCCAUCUAAAGCUAAAUAUUGGCGAGAGACCGAUAGCGAACAAGUACCGUGAGGGAAAGAUGAAAAGAACUUUGGAAAGAGAGUUAAACAGUACGUGAAAUUGCUGAAAGGGAAACGCUUGAAGUCAGUCGCGUUGGCCGGGAAUCAGCCUUGCUUUUGCAUGGUGUACUUUCUGGUUGACGGGUCAGCAUCAAUUUUGACCGCUGGAAAAAGGCCUGGGGAAUGUGGCAGCUCCGGCUGUGUUAUAGCCCCUAGUCGCAUACAGUGGUUGGGAUUGAGGAACUCAGCACGCCGCAAGGCCGGGUUUCGACCACGUUCGUGCUUAGGAUGCUGGCAUAAUGGCUUUAAGCGACCCGUCUUGAAACACGGACCAAGGAGUCUAACAUGCCUGCGAGUAUUUGGGUGGAAAACCCAAGUGCGCAAUGAAAGUGAAAGUUGAGAUCCCUGUCGUGGGGAGCAUCGACGCCCGGACCAGAACUUUUGGGACGGAUCCGCGGUGGAGCAUGUAUGUUGGGACCCGAAAGAUGGUGAACUAUGCCUGAAUAGGGUGAAGCCAGAGGAAACUCUGGUGGAGGCUCGUAGCGAUUCUGACGUGCAAAUCGAUCGUCAAAUUUGGGUAUAGGGGCGAAAGACUAAUCGAACCAUCUA
rnacentral:rRNA from 1 species